rnacentral:rRNA from 1 species
CAUGCAAGUCGGACGGGAAGUUCGGAUCAAUCCUUCGGGAGAGAAACCGGGAUGGAGAGUGGCGUAAGUGGUGAGUAACGCGUGGAUAACUCACCGUCGAGUUGGGGAUAACUCCGCGAAAGCGAAGCUAAUACCGAAUGUGGUCUUCCGGGCAUAAGCCGGGAUGAUCAAAGGUGGGGACCCUUCGGGGCCUGCCGCUUGAAGAGAGGUCCGCGUCCCACCAGCUUGUUGGUGAGGUAACGGCUCACCAAGGCUUACGGGUAGGUGGUCUGAGAGGAUGGUCACCCACACUGGGACUGAGACACUGCCCAGACUCCUACGGGAGGCUGCAGUCGAGGAUCAUUCGCAAUGCGCGAAAGCGUGACGAUGCGACGCUGCGUGGAGGAUGAAGGCCUUCGGGUUGUAAACUCCUGUCAUUCGGGAAAAACGGGCGGGCCGCCAAUAACGGUUCGUCGUGAUGGUACCGAAAGAGGAAGCCACGGCUAACUCUGUGCCAGCAGCCGCGGUAAUACAGAGGUGGCGAGCGUUGUUCGGAUUUACUGGGCGUAAAGGGUGCGUAGGCGGUUUUGUGUGUCGGAUGUGAAAUCCCGUGGCUCAACCACGGAACGCCAUCCGAAACUACGGAACUAGAGUACAGGAUGGGAGAGCGGAAUUCCUGGUGUAGCGGUGAAAUGCGUUGAUAUCAGGAGGAACACCGGUGGCGAAGGCGGCUCUCUGGAAUGUUACUGACGCUGAGGCACGAAAGCGUGGGGAGCAAACAGGAUUAGAUACCCUGGUAGUCCACGCCGUAAACGUUGCGCACCUGGUGUUGGAGGUAUUGACCCCUCCAGUGCCGGAGUUAACGCGUUAAGUGCGCCGCCUGGGGAGUACGGCCGCAAGGCUAAAACUCAAAGAAAUUGACGGGGGCCCGCACAAGCGGAGGAGCAUGUGGCUUAAUUCGAUGCAACGCGAAGAACCUUACCAGGGCUUGACAUAUACCUGCACGCCCCGUGAAAGCGGGGAAGCCUUCGAGGGUGGUAUACAGGUGCUGCAUGGCUGUCGUCAGUUCGUGCCGUGAGGUGUUUGGUUAAGUCCAGCAACGAACGCAACCCUUGUGGUUAGUUGCCGCCGCUGGUGUUAAGCCGGCGAGCACUCUAGCCAGACUGCCUGUACAAGCAGGAGGAAGGUGGGGACGACGUCAAGUCAGUAUGGCCCUUACGCCCUGGGCUGCACACGUGCUACAAUGGCCGGUACAAUGGGCUGCAAGACCGCGAGGUGGAGCAAAUCCCCAAAAUCGGCCUCAGUUCGGAUUGGAGUCUGCAACUCGACUCCAUGAAGUUGGAUUCGCUAGUAACGGCGCAUCAGCUACGGCGCCGUGAAUACGUUCCCGGGCCUUGUACACACCGCCCGUCACAUCAUGAAAGCCGUCUGCACCCGUAGUCGCCGAACCAACCCGCAAGGGAGGGAGGCGCCGAAGGUGUGGGUGGUGAUUGGGAUGAAGUCGU